GUUACCCACAAAAACAUAUAUACACACACACACACUAGGGCACAUUAUUUAUUACGAAGUCAAUAAGUCGAAAUUGCUAUAUUUUCCGCAGUUUUUGUUGUUUAAACCUAGUUUCUGCUGAAAGCUAAAGCGACCAUAAAAUCGAAAAUGAAUAGGGAAUAAUUUUGUCAUCAUAUUCUAGUUUAUUUUGCGCGGUACAGUCUGAAAUCAAUUGUUUCCUUAAAAUCAAAAAGUGCAAACUGCAGUUAUCUGCGAGUAAGUGCUAGAAAUGGAAUCAUUAAAAUGUCAACAGAAAGAGAAGACAGGAUAGCGUCUCUUUCCCGCUCUUUGAUUAAAUGUGUGUGUGUGUGUAUAUGUGUGGAGGAGAUGUUUCGUGGACACGUUGCAAUUGAGUAAUGUAGUAUAUAUCAAUCAAUGUAUUUUCUUUUGUUCUCUUGCAGUUAACUAAGAUGGCCAUCGGAUGGGUAAAAAGUAAACUCUAGAGUUUAAGUUUUAAAAAUCGGUUUAGGCGCGAUCAGAAUCGUGCCCAAACCGAUUUUCGAAACAAAAUUUAAAAUUAAAAAAAAAAAAAAAAACUGUUAAACGUUAUACGAGUUUUAAACGAUCAAUCAGAAAAAAUUUAUUUAAAUUAAAAUCGAUCGUUUGAAAGGCGUAUGUGUUCGACUCGGGUAGAUAGACGUUAUCCGCGCCGUAACACGAAAUAGAGCGAGAUAAAAAAAAAAAACAAACAAAAUAUAGAAUAAAUAUAUAUAUAAAAACAAUCAAUAUGAUUCAGAGUUGUGUAACGUUAUACAAGCCGAAAUGAAAAAAAAAAAACAACAACAAACUACUUUUAAAGGCAUGUAAAAUGUUGCAACAAAAAAAAAAAAAAAAAAAAAACAAAUUGUAAAUAAAUAAAAAGGUAACGUUUUACGAGCCGAGAAAAUAAAUGUAAAAUGUAGGAAAUUGUAACGUUAUACGCGCCUUAACAA